AAAGCGCAACGCCCAUUUACCAACCUUAUUUCUUUUGCACAAAUUAUGCGCAACGUUUAUAAACGGCACAAAAUGGCUGUUUUUGGUGUAGUGUCCCCUAGGUAUUUCCACAAAGUCCUUAAACCUCGAUAUCUCCACCUUUCUGUAAAUAAAAAAGAAUAAAGAGAAGGAACAAAGAGAAGAUCUCACCAAUACUGGGGACUGACAGUCUGCCACGGUAAUACUGCACGUCUUUCCAUGAGGGCUCCAUAAGUUUCGAAGACGCAAGCAAAUGGAUGUUUUUGCAGCAAGCUUGUCUGUCGAAAUUUUACACCGUCCUGCGCAAAGCGGCAACUUGGAGCAAUUGAUGAAGAAUCUAAGGAUAGGCCGUUCUCUCCAUACGAAGGUCCACUACAACAUAUCCAAAAUUCACAGUUAAAAUUUUCUGAAGAAGAAUCGUGACUUUUCAUGCAUAUGGACAUUCGUCCACUUCAUUCAAUCAGAGGUAAACAGACAAACAAGGUUUCUGGUAUUCAUGAAGCAAAAAUACUGAAAUGAUCAAGGAAGCAUCUACACCUACAGAAAUCAAAAGAUGUUCAACUACUAUAAUGAUUGAUCGUUAGAUUCGACAUCAUAUUCACGAUCAGAAUCUUCUUCAGAAUCAUAUUCAGAGUUUUUUGUCAGAAAUCUAUUCGAUAUGGUCUUUUAGAUUGUUAUAGGAUGCAUCUGAGUAGUCAUCUUCCUCGCAUUCAGCUUAGAAAUCAAUCUUGGUCAAUCAUUCAGCCGUCAUAUCAGGUGGAUAUGGCUCAACUUCACAACCAACAGGUUUCCGGGAAGUUUCAACAUCCGGAUCAAAGGCUACGCCUUCAACAAAAGAUCGUGGUUCAUCCUCAUCCGCUCGUCUUGCCUUCUGAAGCUGACGCCAUUUUUGUCGAUCUUUUCAUGUUCAGACCUCUUCUUCUGGGAUGUCUCAGCGCGUCUUUGCCUUUUUUCCACAUCCACUAAAGCUAAAAAAGCAUAAGUUCUAUCAUGGACUAUUUUCAGAUGAUCGAGAGGCAUACCUCGAAUCAACUCCCUCGCCUUGCUGAAGGGACGAGCCACUUUAGCAUGAACAUCUGCAAAAGUCCUCAUCUUGGUUUGGUGUUUCCAGAAUAUUUCUCGGGAAAAUCAGAGACACUCAGGAGUCACCAUUGUCUAUUGCGAAAAGCGUGGAGUCAAAACACGUUAGAAACAACACGCACAAAACGACACACGUCCAUCAAAAAAACUUACGCCAGUUCGGAGGUGGGUGAAACUUCACCAAGUUAUCCUGCAGCUCGUAUGAGGGAGGAUGACGAGUGCUAAACCCAUUAAAUUGGACAUUCCAGCACCCAAAUCAGUGCCUCAUCACUCCACGCUCACUGGACGACGCUCUAUCGUACUACCAGGAUCUUUUUCUCGACAAUUGCUCGUACAUGACAUCAUAGGAGCGAAUCGAAAAUCCGGUGGAAUUGAGUCCUUGGGAGCAAAAGAAGGAGAAAACAUCCAUUUGGAGCGAAAAUGGCAAAAAGAUCAAUUCCCAGACGAUAAUCGGAGCAGGCUAAUGUUGCGCAAGAAGGACUGAAGGAUGAACUGUCGGUUUUCUGAGACUGACAGGCUAAACAGUACAUGGAUAGCUCUUAUCAGAGUUCUGGGUGCCUGUGGUACUUCUUAUCAUUACCACACCCUAGAAUUCAGAAGAGAAUUCAUUUCUCAAUCAUUCAGUCCCUAACUCAGAGAGAGGAAAUGGAGGCGCAGGAAGUGUGUCUGAAAGAGAGAUGAAGAGGGGUUGUAGUUCUAUGAGAAACAGAUGGGGUUCGAGUUGGAAUUUGAUUCUGAAGCAGCUAGGAGGUGCAGUCGUUGGUUGAAGACAAUAAAUUGGAGCUGGAAUUAAAGGGGGAUCUGAAAUUUGAAGAGUUACAUGAAUUGAAUGAAGAUGGGUUGUUGUUGAUUUUGGGUUUGAUUGUGAACUGCAGCUGUAGAUGGUUUUUGUAUCUGUUGCAGUCAAGAACAAGAUAAAGAGGAAUUACAGCUGUCAUUGUUUAUACCAGUGAGAACUAGGGUUUGAAGUUGGGUUCGAUUUCAGAGAUUGAUUGAGGUGAUUCUGUGGUGGAUUUCAGAAAAAAAAGAGAAGAAUUAGAAGAUGUUAGUUGUCUGACUCUUGAAGAAGAUGAUUAUGGCAAGGGUUAGUUGUCACCAAGGAUGAGUUCAGUGAAGAAAGAGCAAGGAAGGAAUGGUGGUCUGGUAUUGCAGAAAAUGGGUUAUGUAUGAAUCUAUGGUGCAGUUAAGAGCAUGGAGGAACUGAGUUAGAUGUAUGUUCUAGGGUUGAAGGCACUGGUGGUGACUUAGUUGGCUCAGGGAAUGAUUGUAGGUUCUGCAGUGGUUGCAAUGGGAGUGCAGCUGAGACUGAAGUGGAGUGAAAGUGACUGAUUGUUCCUGCUGUUAACUAGAAUGAGUUGCAGUUGGGGAAGUUGCUCUUGCUUCCAUGGGUUGUAUUGCAGGUGAGAUAAUGGAGUUGUGAGCUACAGAAAGGUUAGUGAUAGCUGGUGGUUCUGGUUAAGCUCAAGUGGUUUGAGUUACAGGAAUGUGCAAGAAGAGAAAGGAACUGCACUGAGAUGGUGAAUGAAUGAAUAUAUAUGUAUGUUUAGGUUGCAGUUGCAAGUGAGACGGAAGCAAGAAUGAAUUGUAUGUGCUGCAGCUGAUGGCUUGACUGAACUGCGUGAAUGUUGUUGCAGCUGCAGUGAGGCACUAGUGGUGUUGGAAUGGAUGGAUGCUGUGGUUUUAGUUUGAGACAGAGAUGUUGGUGGUGAUGGAAAGAACAUGAUUGAUGUUGUUGUGGAAGAUGAAAUGAGAAAUUGAGACUGGUGAAGUUGCCCUGAACUGACAUGUUGCAGGAUAGCUAUGUAGGUGCUGUUAUGAUUGCUCGUCGUGGAAUGAGCUUAGGCUGGGGUUUUAGUUUGAGACAGAGAUGUUGGUGGUGAUGGCAAGAACAUGAUUGAUGUUGUUGUGGAA